GAUGAACGCUAGCUACAGGCUUAACACAUGCAAGUCGAGGGGCAGCACAGUGUAGCAAUACACGGGUGGCGACCGGCGCACGGGUGCGUAACGCGUAUCCAACCUUCCCGUUACUCUUGGAUAGCCUUCCGAAAGGGAGAUUAAUACAAGAUGGUAUUCAAAUUCCGCAUGUUAUUUGAAUUAAAGAUUUAUCGGUAACGGAUGGGGAUGCGUGACAUUAGAUAGUAGGCGGGGUAACGGCCCACCUAGUCUACGAUGUCUAGGGGUUCUGAGAGGAAGGUCCCCCACACUGGAACUGAGACACGGUCCAGACUCCUACGGGAGGCAGCAGUGAGGAAUAUUGGUCAAUGGUCGGAAGACUGAACCAGCCAAGUAGCGUGAAGGAUGAAGGUUCUAUGGAUUGUAAACUUCUUUUAUACGGGAAUAAAACACCUUACGUGUAGAUCGAUGAGAGUACCUUGCGAAUAAGCAUCGGCUAACUCCGUGCCAGCAGCCG
rnacentral:rRNA from 1 species